UGGGGAAUAUUGGACAAUGGGGGGAACCCUGAUCCAGCCAUGCCGCGUGUGUGAAGAAGGCCUUAUGGUUGUAAAGCACUUUAAGCGAGGAGGAGGGUACUGGUAUUAAUACUACCAGGUACUGGACGUUACUCGCAGAAUAAGCACCGGCUAACUCUGUGCCAGCAGCCGCGGUAAUACAGAGGGUGCGAGCGUUAAUCGGAUUUACUGGGCGUAAAGCGUGCGUAGGCGGCUAAUUGAGUCGGAUGUGAAAUCCCCGAGCUUAACUUGGGAAUUGCAUUCGAUACUGGUUAGCUAGAGUGUGGGAGAGGAUGGUAGAAUUCCAGGUGUAGCGGUGAAAUGCGUAGAAAUCUGGAGGAAUACCGAUGGCGAAGGCAGCCAUCUGGCCUAACACUGACGCUGAGGUACGAAAGCAUGGGGAGCAAACAGG
rnacentral:rRNA from 1 species